UGGAUCUUGUUAAUGCUGAUUCUGGCACAGUAGGUCUAGGGCGGGGCCUGAGAUUCUGCAUUUCUAACAAGAACCCAGGUGAUGCUGACGCUGCUGGGCCAAAAAAGACACUUUGAGUAGCAAGGGUUAGGCAACCUUUAAAGGGCCCUUCAAGAGUCUAAGAUUCCAUGAAGGAUACUAUUUCCUCUACAAGCUUGUGAAAGUCUUCCAGUGCUACUGGGAAUGGGGUACAGGGAUAAAUCUCACUGUUUUGACCUCACAGAAGUAAACCCCUAGAAUCAUGUUCUCAAAAUGAAACACUGGAUUGCUGAACUGAUGGCAUUGAGAAUUAAGGCUCCAAAAUCCUGGGAGUUUCAUACCUAACUCCACUGCCUUUGCCUUAUGAUGCACACUGCUCCCUCUAUCCCUCCCUCCCAGGGUCUGCAGAGAUGAACUAUGCUGUUUUAGGUCUCAUUGGUCCUUAUACCUUCCCUAAACCAGGAGGACUUUGGAGCCUGCUGACACAGGGAGUUCUACAUGUCUAAGCACGCAGCUGCUAGAGUCCUCAGCCAUCUGAGCUAAAUAGCUGCUCAGAGACAAUUAGUACACCUCCGCUCAUCUUACAGAUAAAGGAACUGAAGUCCAAACAAGCCAAGCUACCCAACCAAGGCCUCACAGCAGGCAAGAGGAUAAAAACCAUGUCCUUUGACUCCCAGGUUAGUUUU
rnacentral:lncRNA from 1 species